GCUGGGCAUGGUGGCACGUGGUUCCACAUUUGGAAAACUGAAGUUAGUGCAUGUUUUGAAUUUGGGAGUUCUGAACCACAGUGGGCUAAGCCAAUUGGUGGCCUGCAUUAAGUUUGGUAUCGAUAUGAUGAACCCGCAGGAGCAAAGGGGCUACUAGGUUACCUAAGAAAGGUCAAAACUACCCAGGUCAGAAAUGUUGCAGGUCAAAACUCCUAUGCCAGUCAGAGGUGGGACUGGCUACUGUUAGUAGCCCUUUCACUUCCAGCCUGGGCAAGGACAGACAAAGUCUUUU
rnacentral:SRP_RNA from 1 species